UACGGAGGAUGCGAGCGUUAUCCGGAUUUAUUGGGUUUAAAGGGUGCGUAGGCGGAUCGUUAAGUCAGUGGUCAAAUUGAGGGGCUCAACCCUUUCCCGCCAUUGAAACUGGCGAUCUUGAGUGGAAGAGAAGUAUGCGGAAUGCGUGGUGUAGCGGUGAAAUGCAUAGAUAUCACGCAGAACCCCGAUUGCGAAGGCAGCAUGCCGGCUUCCUACUGACGCUGAAGCACGAAAGCGUGGGGAUCGAACAGG
rnacentral:rRNA from 1 species